rnacentral:rRNA from 1 species
GAUGAACGCUGGCGGCGUGCCUAAUACAUGCAAGUCGAGCGAACGGACGAGAAGCUUGCUUCUCUGAUGUUAGCGGCGGACGGGUGAGUAACACGUGGAUAACCUACCUAUAAGACUGGGAUAACUUCGGGAAACCGGAGCUAAUACCGGAUAAUAUUUUGAACCGCAUGGUUCAAAAGUGAAAGACGGUCUUGCUGUCACUUAUAGAUGGAUCCGCGCUGCAUUAGCUAGUUGGUAAGGUAACGGCUUACCAAGGCAACGAUGCAUAGCCGACCUGAGAGGGUGAUCGGCCACACUGGAACUGAGACACGGUCCAGACUCCUACGGGAGGCAGCAGUAGGGAAUCUUCCGCAAUGGGCGAAAGCCUGACGGAGCAACGCCGCGUGAGUGAUGAAGGUCUUCGGAUCGUAAAACUCUGUUAUUAGGGAAGAACAUAUGUGUAAGUAAUUGUGAACAUCUUGACGGUACCUAAUCAGAAAGCCACGGCUAACUACGUG